CUUGUUCUCCUCACCGCUUCUUUCUUCCCUGAACUCAGAACUUAGAACAAAGAACUCUCGUAGACGAAGAAGAAGAUGACGGUAGAAGGAGUGAACCCUAAGGCGUAUCCGUUAGCUGA
rnacentral:sRNA from 1 species